rnacentral:lncRNA from 1 species
ACAAUCACAACACCUUCAAAUCAAUCAAGCAAAUGUCACACGUUUUGUGCCAAUACAAAAAUCAAAAGAAAUUAAAAGCAAAAAGAAAAGCCCGCUAAGUCAAAAGCUUGAAAACAAGUGACUUAGGCAAAAAUUUGGGCAUCCUGGUGGACUGCAAACCACAAAGGAUCAGUCAGAGAAAAAAAUAAGGGAAAGCAAA